CAAUAGCGUAUAUUAAAGUUGCUGCAGUUAAAAGCUCGUAGUUGGAUUUGUGGCGUGGUCGUCCGGCGGGGCUCCUUCAUUGGGGCCGUUUGUCUGGUUUUUCGACCGCACCAUUCUCGGGUAGUGUGUCGCUGGCAUUAGGUUGUCGGCUUCUUCACGCCCGUCGUUUACUGUGAAAAAUUAGAGUGUUCAAAGCAGGCAGUACGCCUGAAUAAUGGUGCAUGGAAUAAUGGAAUAGGACCUCGGUUCUAUUUUGUUGGUUUUCGGAACUUGAGGUAAUGAUAAAGAGGGACAGACGGGGGCAUUCGUAUUACGGUGUUAGAGGUGAAAUUCUUGGAUCGCCGUAAGACGAACUACUGCGAAAGCAUUUGCCAAGCAUGUUUUCCUUAAUCAAGAACGAAAGUCAGAGGUUCGAAGAUGAUCAGAUACCGU
rnacentral:rRNA from 1 species